rnacentral:rRNA from 1 species
CAGCCUUUGGGUUGUAAAGCUCUUUUGUAGGGGAAGAUAAUGACUGUACCCUAAGAAUAAGGUCCGGCUAACUUCGUGCCAGCAGCCGCGGUAAUACGAAUGGACCUAGCGUAGUUCGGAAUUACUGAGGCGUAAAGCGCGCGUAGGCCGUUGAGUUAGUUAAUUGUGAAAUCCCAAAGCUUAACUUUGGAACUGCAAUUAAAACUGCUCGACUAGAGUUUGAUAGAGGAAAGCGGAAUACAUAGUGUAGAGGUGAAAUUCGUAGAUAUUAUGUAGAACACCAAGUUGCCGAAAGCGGAUUUCUGGGUCAACACUGACGCUGAGGCGCGAAAGUAU